rnacentral:rRNA from 1 species
AUUGAACGCUAGCGGGAUGCCUUACACAUGCAAGUCGAACGACGUGGCGAACGGGCGAGUAAUGUAUCGGAAUGUGCCCAGUAGUGGGGGAUAACUACGCGGAAGCGUAGCCAAUACCGCAUACUCUUGGAGCGGCUUAUUGGGGAUUAGCUAGUUGGUGGGGUAUUGGCUCACCAGGUCGACGAUCCGUAGCUGCUUGGAGAGGACGACCAGCCACACUGGGACUGAGACACGGCCCAGACUCCUACGGGAGGAAGCAGUGGGGAAUUUUCGACAAUGGAGGAAACCCUGAUCCAGCCAUCCCGCGUGGGCGAAGAAGGCUUUCGGGUUGUAAAGCGCUUUUGGGAGGAAAGCGGUAACUGCAGAAAAAGCAACGGCUAACUACGUGCCAGCAGCCGCGGUAAUUC